rnacentral:rRNA from 1 species
GACGAACGCUGGCGGCGUGCUUAACACAUGCAAGUCGAACGGAAAGGCCCUGCUUUUGUGGGGUGCUCGAGUGGCGAACGGGUGAGUAACACGUGAGUAACCUGCCCUUGACUUUGGGAUAACUUCAGGAACCUGGGGCUAAUACCGGAUAGGAGCUCCUGCUGCAUGGUGGGGGUUGGAAAGUUUCGGCGGUUGGGGAUGGACUCGCGGCUUAUCAGCUUGUUGGUGGGGUAGUGGCUUACCAAGGCUUUGACGGGUAGCCGGCCUGAGAGGGUGACCGGCCACAUUGGGACUGAGAUACGGCCCAGACUCCUACGGGAGGCAGCAGUGGGGAAUAUUGCACAAUGGGCGGAAGCCUGAUGCAGCAACGCCGCGUGCGGGAUGACGGCCUUCGGGUUGUAAACCGCUUUCGCCUGUGACGAAGCGUGAGUGACGGUAAUGGGUAAAGAAGCACCGGCUAACUACAUG